rnacentral:pre_miRNA from 1 species
UAGUUUUGUCUAAAGUCAAAUUUUCUUAAGUUUGACCAAAUUUAUAUAAAAGAUUAUCAAUUUUUAUAAUACCAAAUAAAUCUACUAUGAAAAUAUAUUUCAUCAUGAAUCUAAUGGUAUUUAUUUGGUUUUAUAAAAGAUAGUAAUUUUUUGUAUAAAUUUGGUCAAACUUAAGAAAGUUUGACUUCAGACAAAACCAA